AGCUUUAUAGUCAAUUUAUUAUGAUAUCAGACUGCAAUUCUGGGGUAGUGCUUUACUAAAGCUU
rnacentral:tRNA from 2 species